GACGAACGCUAGCGGCGUGCUUAACACAUGUAAGUCGAACGGAAAGGCCCUGCUUUUGUGGGGUGCUCGAGUGGCGAACGGGUGAGUAACACGUGAGUAACCUGCCCUUGACUUUGGGAUAACUUCAGGAAACUGGGGCUAAUACCGGAUAGGAGCUCCUGCGGCAUGGUGGGGGUUGGAAAGUUUCGGCGGUUGGGGAUGGACUCGCGGCUUAUCAGCUUGUUGGUGGGGUAGUGGCUUACCAAGGCUUUGACGGGUAGCCGGCCUGAGAGGGUGACCGGCCACAUUGGGACUGAGAUACGGCCCAGACUCCUACGGGAGGCAGCAGUGGGGAAUAUUGCACAAUGGGCGGAAGCCUGAUGCAGCAACGCCGCGUGCGGGAUGACGGCCUUCGGGUUGUAAACCGCUUUCGCCUGUGACGAAGCGUGAGUGACGGUAAUGGGUAAAGAAGCACCGGCUAACUACGUG
rnacentral:rRNA from 1 species